CCAGGCUUGAACUGCAGAUGACAUUCUACGAAAGUAGGCUUCCGCAAGGACAUCUGUAGAGGUGCUGCAUGGCUGUCGUCAGCUCGUGUCGUGAGAUGUUGGGUUAAGUCCCGCAACGAGCGCAACCCUUGUCUUCUGUUGCCAUCGGGUUAUGCCGGGCACUCUGAAGAGACUGCCGGUGACAAACCGGAGGAAGGUGGGGAUGACGUCAAGUCAGCAUGGCCUUUAUGUCUGGGGCCACACACGUGCUACAAUGGCCGGUACAAACCGUCGCAAACUCGCAAGGGUGAGCUAAUCGGAGAAAGCCGGUCUCAGUUCGGAUUGUAGGCUGCAACUCGCCUGCAUGAAGUUGGAAUCGCUAGUAAUCGCGGAUCAGCACGCCGCGGUGAAUA
rnacentral:rRNA from 1 species